AAAACAUGUCUCUUAGAAAUUAUUAAGAGUCAGGCCUGCCCAGUGAUUGCUUUUUAACGGCCGCGGUACCCUGACCGUGCAAAGGUAGCAUAAUCAUUUGCCUUUUAAUUGAAGGCUGGUAUGAAUGGUUUGACGAGAGUAAAGCUGUCUCACAUAUGCUUAAUAAAAAUUAAUUUAAAGGUGCAAAAGCCUUUAUAAAUCAAAAAGACGAGAAGACCCUGUUGAGCUUUAAUUUAAAUUAAGUAUUAACUAUAUAUUUAUAUAAUUUAUUUACUUAACAAAAAUUUUAAUUGGGGCGAUUAAGGAACACUCAAAAGCUUCCUGAUUAUUUCAUAUACAAUGUUUCGUAAACUAAAUCGAUCCAGCAAUGCUGAUCAACAAAAUGAGUUACCACAGGGAUAACAGCAUAAUUCUUUUUGAGAGCUCAUAUCGAAAAAAGAGAUUGUGACCUCGAUGUUGGACUAGGGUAACCAGAAGGUGUAGCCGCUUUCUCGCUUGGUCUGUUCGACCAGUAAUUCCCUACAUGAUCUGA
rnacentral:rRNA from 1 species